rnacentral:rRNA from 1 species
UACGUAGGAGGCGAGCGUUGUCCGGAUUUACUGGGCGUAAAGGGCGAGUAGGCGGCUCGGCAAGUCUCAUGUGAAAUCUUCCGGCUCAACUGGAAGGGGUCGUGGGAAACUGCCAGGCUUGAGGGCAGCAGAGGAAAGUGGAAUUCCCGGAGUAGUGGUGAAAUGCGUAGAUACCGGGAGGAACACCAGUGGCGAAGGCGGCUUUCUGGGCCUUACCUGACGCUGAGACGCGAAAGCGUGGGGAGCGAACCGGAUUAGAUACCCCGGUAGUCC